rnacentral:lncRNA from 1 species
AGCUUCUCUCUCUUUAGCUGGCUUGGUUCCCGACUAGCCCGUCUCUCUCCCAAGAGCAAGAAUACCGCUUGACUAUCUUGUGCAAUUGUGACUGAUACAGGGCAAUUUGUUUAUAUAUGAUUGUGAAUGUGCAAUUGUACACAUUGUGAGUGAUACUAAGCAGAUUUUUUAUAUAUGAUUGUGAAUGUGCAAUUGUGAAUUUGUGGCUGGUAUUGGGCAGUUUGUUUAUAUAUGAUUAUGAAUUUGUUUAUAUAUGACUGUGAAUUUAUUUAUAUAUUGACUGUGCAAUUGUGCACAUUGUGAGUGGUAUUGGGCAGUUUUUUUAUAUACGAUUGUGAAUGUGCAUUUGUGAAUUUGUGACUGAUACUGGGCAGUUUGUUUAUAUAUGAUUAUGAAUUUGUUUAUAUAUGACUGUGAAUUUGUUUAUAUAUGUGACUGUGCAAGUGUGUACAUUGUGACUGGUUCUGGGCAAUUUGUUUAUAUAUGAUUGUGAAUGUGCAAUUAUGCACAUUGUGAGUGGUACUGGACAGAUUGUGUAUAUAUGAUUGUGAACUUAUUUAUAUAUGACUGUGAAUUUAUUUAUAUAUAUGACUGGUACUGGGCAGUUUGUUUAUAUAUGACUCUGAAUUUAUUUAUAUAUGAUUGUGAAUUUGCGACUGGUACUGGGCAGUUUGUUUAUAUAUGAUUGCGAAUGUUUUAUGUUGUAUUGGAUGUUGUCGAGUUGCUUGGUGAGCCAUGGUAGUUUUUUAUAGAAA